CCAGUUUUGUUGUAAUGUUUUUGCGCAGACCCUUAAAAACAUGACGUAUUAAUAAAUUGUAACACAAAAUACCAGAAUCAAAAUCUCGUGCACAACGGCCAAAUUGAGCACUUUUUCAUGAUUAAAAAAAUAUGACAUACCUAAUGUCCACGUACCAGCGCGGUUUGGAAAUGUGUAUGCUUAAUUUUGCGAUUUUUUAUUUAAUUUUUCACAGAAAUAAAAAAGAUUGCUUCAUAAUGCCAUAUUUACACACAUAAAAAUAUAGUUUCAUUUAUUUUUUAUUCAUUUUUUCACACAAAUAAAAGAUGUCUUCUGUAAUGCAAUAUUUACACACACAAACACAUGUUUUUGUCUUGGAUCAUGCAAAAAUGGUCGCGGUUCGGGA